GCUCAGAUUGAACGCUGGCGGCAGGCUUAACACAAGCAAGUCGAGCGGGGGAAGGUAGCUUGCUACCGGACCUAGCGGCGGACGGGUGAGUAAUGCUUAGGAAUCUGCCUAUUAGUGGGGGACAACAUCUCGAAAGGGAUGCUAAUACCGCAUACGUCCUACGGGAGAAAGCAGGGGAUCUUCGGACCUUGCGCUAAUAGAUGAGCCUAAGUCGGAUUAGCUAGUUGGUGGGGUAAAGGCCUACCAAGGCGACGAUCUGUAGCGGGUCUGAGAGGAUGAUCCGCCACACUGGGACUGAGACACGGCCCAGACUCCUACGGGAGGCAGCAGUGGGGAAUAUUGGACAAUGGGCGCAAGCCUGAUCCAGCCAUGCCGCGUGUGUGAAGAAGGCCUUAUGGUUGUAAAGCACUUUAAGCGAGGAGGAGGCUACUUUAGAUAAUACCUAGAGAUAGUGGACGUUACUCGCAGAAUAAGCACCGGCUAACUCUGUGCCAGCAGCCGCGGUAAUACAGAGGGUGCAAGCGUUAAUCGGAUUUACUGGGCGUAAAGCGCGCGUAGGCGGCUAAUUAAGUCAAAUGUGAAAUCCCCGAGCUUAACUUGGGAAUUGCAUUCGAUACUGGUUAGCUAGAGUGUGGGAGAGGAUGGUAGAAUUCCAGGUGUAGCGGUGAAAUGCGUAGAGAUCUGGAGGAAUACCGAUGGCGAAGGCAGCCAUCUGGCCUAACACUGACGCUGAGGUGCGAAAGCAUGGGGAGCAAACAGGAUUAGAUACCCUGGUAGUCCAUGCCGUAAACGAUGUGCUACUAGCCGUUGGGGCCUUUGAGGCUUUAGUGGCGCAGCUAACGGCGAUUAAAGGUAAGU
rnacentral:rRNA from 1 species